rnacentral:rRNA from 1 species
CCCUUAGAUGUUCUGGGCUGCACGCGCGCUACACUGAUGCGCUCAACGAGUUUAUGACCUUGCCCGGAAGGGUUGGGUAAUCUUCUUAAAACGCAUCGUGAUGGGGAUAGAUUAUUGCAAUUAUUAAUCUUCAACGAGGAAUUCCUAGUAAGCGCGGGUCAUCAUCCCGCGCUGAAUACGUCCCUGCCCUUUGUACACACCGCCCGUCGCUCCUACCGAUUGAGUGGUCCGGUGAGGCUUUGGGAUCUGAGCGGAAAGAGCGUUUCGCUGUUUCUGCUCGGAAAACUCAGUCGAACCUUAUCAUUUAGAGGAAGGAGAAGUCGUAACA